CAUAACUGCAGUUUUGGACAACCGGUGGAACUCAUUCCUCCCCAGGGGGGUCAGGGAGCCGGAUUCCACAGUGACUCGUCCUUCCGAGGGGGCGUGGCCUAUCCUGAGGCAUGGCAGACAGCUGCUCUGCCUGGCAGGGACCGCAGCGGUGACAUCACGCCCUGGGAUAUUUUAAAGGGGGUUGAUGAGCUGGGGAGCGAGCUCGGACUGGACAGACCAGCAUCAACAGCGCACCGUGAGGGUUGUAUUAGUGUUUUCAAGAGCUCCAGAGAGAAGAGUCAAAUUCCCCCCGGCGACUUUGUACGACAACCUGCUCCCUGAGCCGACCCGCCCCUGAUUCCCCCUCUGGGAUGUGACCUACUAGCCCGUGUUCUUGCAAUGCUGAGGCAUUGCCCCAUACCCCUUUUCGCAUCUUCCGGAUCCCGGAAGAAGAUGCCCAAGGCCUCUGGGAAAGAAAAGGCCCCCCUGGCAAUACCAGAAAGCCAGGCCCUGGACAUAGUGGCAGACCCAAAGGUGGUGGUCAAGGUGGCUAAGGAGCCUCCACUGCCCCCGCAGAAAGUGCUCCGGAUCUUCAGCAUCAACAUCAUCACUCAGGGGCUGCCCUUCUGUCGCAGACGGCUCUUAUGUUUGUUCACUUUGUUUUCUAUAUGUGUAAGCCACACCGCCCUCCAGGCUCCUUGUCCUCGGACGCAUUCAUGCAUCAUUUGUCAGUCAAACAUACAUUUGUCAGUCAAACAUGCACCUUCGUCAUAAUAC
rnacentral:lncRNA from 1 species